UACGUAUGGUGCAAGCGUUAUCCGGAUUUACUGGGUGUAAAGGGAGCGCAGGCGGCACGGCAAGCCUGAUGUGAAAGCCCGCGGCCCAACCGCGGGACUGCAUUGGGAACUACCGGGCUGGAGUGCCGGAGAGGUAGGCGGAAUUCCUAGUGUAGCGGUGAAAUGCAUAGAUAUCACGCAGAACCCCGAUUGCGAAGGCAGCCUUCCGGCGCCCUACUGACGCUGAGGCACGAAAGUGCGGGGAUCGAACAGG
rnacentral:rRNA from 1 species